rnacentral:rRNA from 1 species
AUUGAACGCUGGCGGCAGGCCUAACACAUGCAAGUCGAGCGGAUGAAAGGGGCUUGCUCCUGGAUUCAGCGGCGGACGGGUGAGUAAUGCGCAGGAAUCUACCUAGUAGUGGGGGGAUAACGUUUCGAAAGGAACGCUAAUACCGCAUACGUUCUGAGGAAGAAAGCAGGGGAUCGUAAGACCUUGCGCUAUUAGAUGAGCUUGCGUCCGAUUAGCUAGUUGGUGGGGUAAAGGCCUACCAAGGCGACGAUCGGUAACUGGUCUGAGAGGAUGAUCAGUCACACUGGAACUGAGACACGGUCCAGACUCCUACGGGAGGCAGCAGUGGGGAAUAUUGGACAAUGGGCGCAAGCCUGAUCCAGCAAUGCCGCGUGUGUGAAGAAGGCCUGCGGGUUGUAAAGCACUUUCAGUGGGAAGACAGAUUCGGGUCAAUACCCCGGAGCCCUGACGUUACCCACAGAAGAAGCACCGGCUAACUCCGUGCCAGCACG